AGUGAACGCUGGCGGUAGGCCUAACACAUGCAAGUCGAACGGCAGCACAGUAAGAGCUUGCUCUUACGGGUGGCGAGUGGCGGACGGGUGAGGAAUACAUCGGAAUCUACUUUUUCGUGGGGGAUAACGUAGGGAAACUUACGCUAAUACCGCAUACGACCUACGGGUGAAAGCCGGGGAUCUUCGGACCUUGCGCGAUUGAAUGAGCCGAUGUCGGAUUAGCUAGUUGGCGGGGUAAAGGCCCACCAAGGCGACGAUCCGUAGCGGGUCUGAGAGGAUGAUCAGACACACUGGAACUGAGACACGGUCCAGACUCCUACGGGGGGCAGCAGUGGGGAAUAUUGGACAAUGGGCGCAAGCCUGAUCCAGCCAUACCGCGUGGGUGAAGAAGGCCUUCGGGUUGUAAAGCCCUUUUGUUGGGAAAGAAAAGCAGCAGGUUAAUACCCCGCUGUUCUGACGGUACCCAAAGAAUAAGCACCGGCUAACUUCGUG
rnacentral:rRNA from 1 species